rnacentral:tRNA from 1 species
AAGUUUGAAACAAAAAAUUGUAUUCAGUUUCGACCUGAAAUUUUAGUUUAUUAAAACUCUAACUUU